rnacentral:rRNA from 1 species
UACGAAGGGUGCAAUCGUUGCUCGGAAUCAUUGGGCGUAAAGCGCACGUAGGCGGCAUUCUAAGUCGGAUGUGAAAUCCCUCGGCUCAACCGAGGACGUGCAUCCGAAACUGGAACGCUCGAGUAUGGAAGAGGGUCGCGGAAUUCUCGGUGUAGAGGUGAAAUUCGUAGAUAUCGGGAGGAACACCAGUGGCGAAGGCGGCGACCUGGGCCAAUACUGACGCUGAGGUGCGAAAGCGUGGGGAGCAAACAGG